GCCUGGAUCUGUGGUUAUUUAUGGAUUCCUCUCUCAACAUUGAACCCUAACAUUUGGGGGCUCGUUCCGGUGAGAGAGAGGGAGUGUUGGGGUAGAUGGAGAGAACCGGGGUCCGUGGUAAUUGGACGGGCAGACGGUAAUCAGUGGUGAAAGUGAGCAGGCAUUCCCCGGGGCAUUUAAAGGUAAGACACUGCCUGUUGAAAUAUAUUUCCAAAAGGUGUCACAUUGGGCAUGUCAAAUUAAAAGCCUGGUCACUGUAAUUACUGGUGAAUGUCUGUUUUUUAAUUUUGGUGAAAAGUUGAAGGUUGGAG